GGGGGCGAACUGGUUUCGACGGGAGGGAUGAGACGAAGGUUGCAUGUACGGGAUGCCGUUGGCCCGUAAAAAAACGGCACAUACAUAAUCGCCAACGAUUAUGAAGUAGCUGUAGCCGCUUAAACAAAGCUGGCUACCGUUCUUUUCACUUUUGUCUGUGAGGUGAAAAAGAACGUCAUUUAAACGGACUGGUCGGGUGUGUGUGUUCCGGACGCAUCGGACGAGAACUAUCGGAACUGGCGCGGGCCGAAUCCGGUCUCUGGGAGUUAGCCCGGGCGAGAUUUAAAAUAGAGACUAAACAUGUAGACGCCUUCGAUUGAAACCUUUCGGACGGGGGUUCGAUUCCCCCCGCCUCCACCA
rfam:Nitrospina sp. SCGC_AAA799_A02 AAA799A02_82, whole genome shotgun sequence.